rnacentral:rRNA from 1 species
UCUCCCCUACGGGACGCAGCAGUAGGGAAUUUUCGUCAAUGGGCGCAAGCCUGAACGAGCAAUGCCGCGUGAACGAGGAAGGUCUUCGGAUCGUAAAGCUCUGUUGAAGGGGAAAAAGAGCGGAGAGAGGAAAUGAACUCCGAUUGAUAUUACCCUUCGAGGAAGUCACGGCUAACUACGUGCCAGCAGCCGCGGUAAUACGUAGGUGGCGAGCGUUAUCCGGAAUGAUUGGGCGUAAAGGGUGCGUAGGCGGCCUGCUAAGUCUGGAGUGAAAGGUACCGGCUCAACCGGUACAGGCUCUGGAA